AAUUGUUCACAAUGGGCGCAAGCCUGAUGACGCAACGCCGCGUGGGGGAUGAAGGUCUUCGGAUUGUAAACCCCUGUCGAACGGGACGAAAGACUCGCGAGUGAAUACUUCGCGAGAGUGACGGUACCGUUAAAGGAAGCCACGGCUAACUCUGUGCCAGCAGCCGCGGUAAUACGGAGGGGGCUAGCGUUUAUUCGGAAUUAUUGGGCGUAAAGGGCGCGUAGGCGGCCCGGUAAGUCAAAGGUGAAAUCCCUCGGCUCAACUGAGGAACUGCCUUUGAAACUGUCGGGCUUGAGGCCGGGAGGGGGUAGCGGAAUUCCCAGUGUAGCGGUGAAAUGCGUAGAUAUUGGGAGGAACACCGGUGGCGAAGGCGGCUACCUGGACCGGUUCUGACGCUGAUGCGCGAAAGCGUGGGUAGCAAAC
rnacentral:rRNA from 1 species